rnacentral:rRNA from 1 species
UUAAAUUGAGAGUUUGAUCCUGGCUCAGGACGAACGCUGGCGGCGUGCUUAACACAUGCAAGUCGAACGGGAUUUAGUAAACAGAAGCCUCGGUGGAAGAUUACUAAUGAGAGUGGCGAACGGGUGAGUAACGCGUGAGCAACCUGCCUAUGACAGUGGGAUAGCCUCGGGAAACCGGGAUUAAUACCGCAUAAAAUCGUAGAAACA